rnacentral:rRNA from 1 species
GAUGAACGCUGGCGGCGUGCCUAAUACAUGCAAGUCGAGCGAACAGAUGAGGAGCUUGCUCCUCUGACGUUAGCGGCGGACGGGUGAGUAACACGUGGAUAACCUACCUAUAAGACUGGGAUAACUUCGGGAAACCGGAGCUAAUACCGGAUAAUAUAUUGAACCGCAUGGUUCAAUAGUGAAAGACGGUUUUGCUGUCACUUAUAGAUGGAUCCGCGCCGCAUUAGCUAGUUGGUAAGGUAACGGCUUACCAAGGCAACGAUGCGUAGCCGACCUGAGAGGGUGAUCGGCCACACUGGAACUGAGACACGGUCCAGACUCCUACGGGAGGCAGCAGUAGGGAAUCUUCCGCAAUGGGCGAAAGCCUGACGGAGCAACGCCGCGUGAGUCAUGAAGGUCUUCGGAUCGUAAAACUCUGUUAUUGGGGAAGAACAAAUGUGUAAGUAACUAUGCACGUCUUGACGGUACCUAAUCAGAAAGCCACGGCUAACUACGUG